UACGUAGGGGGCAAGCGUUGUCCGGAUUUAUUGGGCGUAAAGAGCGUGUAGGCGGCCAUACAGGUCAGCUGUGAAAACUCGAGGCUCAACCUCGAGACGUCGGUUGAAACCGUUUGGCUAGAGUCCGGAAGAGGAGAGUGGAAUUCCCGGUGUAGCGGUGAAAUGCGCAGAUAUCAGGAAGAACACCCGUGGCGAAGGCGGCUCUCUGGAACGCAACUGGACGCUGAAGACGCGAAAGCGUGGGGAGCAAACAGG
rnacentral:rRNA from 1 species